rfam:Zygosaccharomyces rouxii strain CBS732 chromosome G complete sequence.
GGUUUUGUGGUCUAGUCGGUUAUGGCGCCUGCUUUACACGCAGGAAGUCCCCAGUUCGAUCCUGGGCAAAGCCA